GACGAACGCUGGCGGCGUGCUUAACACAUCCAAGUCGAACGGAAAGGCCCUGCUUUUGUGGGGUGCUCGAGCGGCGAACGGGUGAGUAACACGUGAGUAACCUGCCCUUGACUUUGGGAUAACUUCAGGAAACUGGGGCUAAUACCGGAUAGGAGCUCCUGCUGCAUGGUGGGGGUUGGAAAGUUUCGGCGGUUGGGGAUGGACUCGCGGCUUAUCAGCUUGUUGGUGGGGUAGUGGCUUACCAAGGCUUUGACGGGUAGCCGGCCUGAGAGGGUGACCGGCCACAUUGGGACUGAGAUACGGCCCAGACUCCUACGGGAGGCAGCAGUGGGGAAUAUUGCACAAUGGGCGGAAGCCUGAUGCAGCAACGCCGCGUGCGGGAUGACGGCCUUCGGGUUGUAAACCGCUUUCGCCUGUGACGAAGCGUGAGUGACGGUAAUGGGUAAAGAAGCACCGGCUAACUACGUG
rnacentral:rRNA from 1 species